CGCUGGCGGCACGCCUAACACAUGCAAGUCGAACGGAGAUUUGAGAGCUUGCUCUUAAAUCUAGUGGCGGACGGGUGAGUAACACGUGAGCAACCUGCCUCUGAGAGAGGGAUAGCUUCUGGAAACGGAUGGUAAUACCUCAUAACAUUACAUGACCGCAUGAUCGUGUAAUCAAAGAUUUAUCACUCAGAGAUGGGCUCGCGUCUGAUUAGCUAGUUGGUGAGGUAACGGCCCACCAAGGCGACGAUCAGUAGCCGGACUGAGAGGUUGAACGGCCACAUUGGGACUGAGACACGGCCCAGACUCCUACGGGAGGCAGCAGUGAGGGAUAUUGCACAAUGGAGGAAACUCUGAAUGCAGCGAUGCCGCGUGGAGGAAGAAGGUUUUCGGAUUGUAAACUCCUGUUUCGAGGGACGAUAAUGACGGUACCUCGGGAGGAAGCUCCGGCUAACUACGUGCCAGCAGCGGC
rnacentral:rRNA from 1 species